rfam:Gasterosteus aculeatus cont1.009065, whole genome shotgun sequence.
GUCUCUGUGGCGCAAUUGGUCAGCACGUUCGGCUGUUAACCGAAAGGUUGGUGGUUCAACCCCACCCAGGGACG